GGCUCAGGACGAACGCUGGCGGCGUGCCUAACACAUGCAAGUCGAGCGAAGUGAGUCUAGAUGAAGUUUUCGGAUGGAAUUUGGAAUUAUCUUAGCGGCGGACGGGUGAGUAACGCGUGAGAAACCUGCCUUUCACAAAGGGAUAGCCUCGGGAAACUGGGAUUAAUACCAUAUAAAGUUUCAUCUUAGCCUUAAGAAGAAACCAAAGCGUAAAGCGGUGAAAGAUGGUCUCGCGUCCCAUUAGCUAGUUGGUGAGAUAAAAGCCCACCAAGGCGACGAUGGGUAGCCGGCCUGAGAGGGUGAACGGCCACACUGGAACUGAGACACGGUCCAGACUCCUACGGGAGGCAGCAGUGGGGAAUAUUGCACAAUGGAGGAAACUCUGAUGCAGCGACGCCGCGUGAGCGAUGAAGGCUUUCGAGUCGUAAAGCUCUGUCCUUGGGGACGAUAAUGACGGUACCCAAGGAGGAAGCCCCGGCUAACUACGUGCCAGCAGCCGCGGUAAUACGUAGGGGGCGAGCGUUGUCCGGAUUUAUUGGGCGUAAAGGGUUCGCAGGCGGCCUUUUAAGUCAGAUGUGAAAUCCCAUGGCUUAACCAUGGUAAGCAUUUGAAACUGAAAGGCUUGAGUUAAGGAGAGGAAAGUGGAAUUCCUAGUGUAGCGGUGAAAUGCGUAGAUAUUAGGAGGAAUACCAGUGGCGAAGGCGACUUUCUGGACUUUAACUGACGCUGAGGAACGAAAGCGUGGGUAGCAAACAGGAUUAGAUACCCUGGUAGUCCACGCCGUAAAC
rnacentral:rRNA from 1 species